UAAGCAGAAUGCCAAUAUAUUGUGUGUCCGAACAGUGGCAAUUGUUAAUGACCUUUAGACCAACCCAGCUACCGUUGUGCUUGGAUAGGAUGAGAAUUCACAAGUAUGAAAAUGGAUCUGAAUGAAUGAAUGGCCCUCUUCUGCAAGUAGUCAUAAAAUGUAUGGACAGCUCGAUUGUCCUAAAUGUAGGACUAAGCAUACCUGAACUUUAAAUUGUUUGGCUUGGCAUAUUUCCUAUUUGGCAAAUAUAGAGGUACUUACCCACUUGCCAGCAUCUGUAUUCCCCAGUAUUGUUCUGCCUCCUGGUUGCACUUUUUAUGUAUUUUCUUACAGUUUCUUUCAUCUGACUGAUCUCCACAGUCAUCAUCUCCAUUGCAUAGCAGCCUCCGAUUGAUGCAUCUUCCUACAACACAGAAUGGGAACAACUUCACUAAUAAUGUAAUCUUGUAUUGCCUUUUAGUUUAGAAAUCCUGGCCUAAACCAUGUGCUUCCAAGGCCCUGCUGUGGAUGCCGCUGGAAAACAGCAAUGAAGAAAGUGAUUAUCAAGUGGACUUAGGCCCAAUUUAACUCAAUAAAUAUUCAUAACUAAUGUAAUAGAAAAUGUGUUAUCUGAUCUACAUAGAGCCAUUAAAAAGAAUCCACCAGCUGACAAGAUAUACAGUGUAUAUAUAUAUAUAUAUAUAUAUAUAUAUAUAUAUAUAUAUAUAUAUAUAUAUAUAAAACAAGCAGUAUUGAACAAUGUACCAGUUAUGAUUUUAGAAGUAUGAGACUAUCAUGAGCACACACUCUGCCUCUGUGAUCCAUCCUUCUUAGUUUUUGUGGUUGUUUGAACACAUAUUAAAAAAAAACACAUUUUUGUGCUUUGUUUUCAUUUUUGCCAUGCCUAGAUAUGUAUAUAUCAGGAGGUAUAUAAAUCUGAUAAAUAAAAUAAAUAAAUACUA